CUUUAUUAUUGCCAUCCUAUAGAAAGGAGUGAACCUGGACAUUGACUUCUCGAAUGUGAUUUAACCAGGUUACCCUUGUGACCUGGACUGGGUUUUCUAUGCAGAAUUCCAUAUCUCUGCUGCUGUGGGUGUUGGAGCCAGAAGGAAUAGGGCAUGUCCCUGCAAACCCCAUUGGCUGCUUUCUUGUGCCACUCAAGUUUAAAAAGGCACAUUACCUGUGUCCCUUUGGGGCCUGGGAAGAGGGUUCCUGGAAAUGACGGUGAAAACGGAAUCCGCACUUGUUCCAGGUUUUAUCAUGAAUUACAAUGUGCUUCAAAUAUCAGGGAUUAUAUAUGAUGAAAAGAAAUGACCAGGAUAUGAAGAAAAU
rnacentral:lncRNA from 13 species